ACCUCCGUGGCGCAAUGGAUUAGCGCGUUGGACUUCUAAUUCAAAGGUUGUGGGUUCGAAUCCCACCGGAGGUG
rnacentral:tRNA from 1 species